rnacentral:pre_miRNA from 1 species
UCUUAUGAAUGAGCAAAGAAAGUGGUUUCUUGAGAUAGAGUCUACUCUUAGUGAAGAUGUUGUGAA